rnacentral:rRNA from 1 species
UACGGGGGGGGCAAGCGUUGUUCGGAAUUACUGGGCGUAAAGGGCUCGUAGGUGGCCAACUAAGUCAGACGUGAAAUCCCCGGGCUCAACCCGGGAACUGCGUCCGAUACUGGGAGGCUUGAAUCCGGGAGAGGGAUGUGGAAUUCCAGGUGUAGCGGUGAAAUGCGUAGAUAUCUGGAGGAACACCGGUGGCGAAGGCGGCAUCCUGGACCGGUAUUGACGCUGAGGCGCGAAAGCCAGGGGAGCAAACGGG